CCUACGGGGGGCAGCAGUGAGGAAUAUUGGUCAAUGGACGCAAGCCUGAACCAGCCAAGCCGCGUGCAGGAAGACUGCUCUAUGAGUUGUAAACUGCUUUUGUACGGGGGUAAACGCAGAUACGCGUAUCUGUCUGAAAGUAUCGUAAGAAUAAGGAUCGGCCAACUCCGUGCCAGCAGACGCGGUAAUACGGAGGAUUAAAGCGUUAUCCGGAUUUAUUGGGUUUAAAGGGUGCGUAGGCGGUCGGUUAAGUUAGAGGUGAAAGCCCGAGGCUCAACUUCGGAAUUGCCUUUGAUACUGUUCGUCUAGAGAGUAGUUGAGGUAGGCGGAAUGUAUGGUGUAGCGGUGAAAUGCUUAGAGAUCAUACAGAACACCGAUUGCGAAGGCAGCUUACCAAGCUACUUCUGACGUUGAGGCACGAAAGCGUGGGGAGCAAACAGGAUUAGAUACCCCAGUAGUC
rnacentral:rRNA from 1 species